rnacentral:rRNA from 1 species
UUCGCUCUUCAACGAGGAAUCCCUAGUAAGCACAAGUCACCAGCUUGUGCUGAUUACGUCCCUGCCCUUUGUACACACCGCCCGUCGCUACUACCGAUUGAAUGGCUUAGUGAGGCCCUCGGAUCGACUUUCUGAGACUGGCAACAGUCUCUGAUUGUUGAGAAGUUGGUCAAACUUGGUCAUUUAGAGGAAGUAAAAGUCGUAACAAGGUUUCCGUAGGUGAACCUGCGGAAGGAUCAUUAAUGAUUUGGCGAACCUAACGUUAGUUAGGUUUUGCGAUCACUUAUUUAAAACCCAACUCUUAAAUGUAUAAUUUAUGUAUUUCUUGAUAAGAAAAAUAAAGAUCACUUUCAACAACGGAUCUCUUGGCUCUCGCAUCGAUGAAGAACGUAGCGAAGUGCGAUAAGUAAUGUGAAUUGCGGAAUUCCGUGAAUCAUCGAAUCUUUGAACGCAAAUUGCACUUUCUGGUAUUCCGGAAAGUAUGCCUGUUUGAGGGUCAGUUAAAUAAAAAUCGGUGUUAUUGCUAUUAAUGGUGAUGCAUCGGAAUUGAGUCGUCUUUACCUUUGGUUUUUAAGUGACUUAAAAUUAUGUACGAUUUUUGAACGUAUUUAAAUUAUUUACUUACGUUCAUAAUAUCACAUAUUAGGUGCGGUCAUCCACAUGAUUUCGCGUCUAUAAUUUUUUCAUUAUUUGACCUCAAAUCAGGUAAGAAUACCCGCUGAACUUAAGCAUAUCAAUAAGCGGAGGAAAAGAAAAUAACAAUGAUUCCCUUAGUAACGGCGAGUGAAGGGGGAUAAGCUCAAAUUUUAAAUCUGCUAGGUUUUACCUAUCAGAGUUGUAAUUUGAAGAAGCGUUUUCCGCGUCUCGGUUGACCCAAAUCCUUUGGGAUAUGGUAUCAUGGAGGUGAGAAUCCCGUCCGUUGACUUUGUGACGCUUUACGAUACGUUUUCAAAGAGUCGAGUUGUUUGGGAUUGCAGCUCAAAAUGGGAGGUAAAUUUCUCCUAAGGCUAAAUACCGGCGAGAGACCGAUAGCGAACAAGUACCGUGAGGGAAAGAUGAAAAGAACUUUGAAAAGAGAGUUAAACAGUACGUGAAAUUGUUGAAAGGGAAACGAUUGAAGCCAGUCGUUCUGACGGAAAAUCAACUUUUCGGGUGCCUAUCGUGGGUGACGUUGAGCCUCACGGUCUUCGUUGCUUGUGUUUGUUGGUACCUUUGGAGUGCACUUUUUCGUAUGGUAGGUCAACAUCGAUUUUAAUCGUCAUAAAAUGAUCGGAGGAAUGUGGCUUCGAUUUCGAUUGGAGUGUUAUAGCCUUUGGUAGAUGUGACGAUUGGGAUCGAGGAUUGCAACGAAUACCCUUUGGGCUAUCCGUCUGGCCUCUGAAAGUCGCUUGGGUGCUGAAAGCUUUGCUUAUAGUAUUCAAGUUGGCGGUCAACAGGUUAGAACGUGAUUACAUUCGUUAAGGAUGUUGACGUAAUGGCUUUAAACGACCCGUCUUGAAACACGGACCAAGGAGUCUAACAUAUGUGCGAGUGUU